UACGAAGGGGGCUAGCGUUGUUCGGAAUUACUGGGCGUAAAGCGCGCGUAGGCGGUUUUGCAAGCCAGAGGUGAAAUGCCUGAGCUCAACUUAGGAAUUGCCUUUGGGACUGCGAGGCUUUGAGGACUGGAGAGGUGGGUGGAAUUCCCAGUGUAGAGGUGAAAUUCGUAGAUAUUGGGAAGAACACCAGUGGCGAAGGCGGCUCACUGGCCAGUUUCUGACGCUGCAGCGCGAAAGCGUGGGGAUCAAACAGG
rnacentral:rRNA from 1 species